UACGGGAGGGGCAAGCGUUGUUCGGAAUUACUGGGCGUAAAGGGCUCGUAGGCGGCCGCUUAAGUCAGACGUGAAAUCCCUCGGCUCAACCGGGGCGCUGCGUCUGAGACUGAAUGGCUUGAAUCCGGGAGAGGGACGCGGAAUUCCAGGUGUAGCGGUGAAAUGCGUAGAUAUCUGGAGGAACACCGGUGGCGAAGGCGGCAUCCUGGACCGGUAUUGACGCUGAGGAGCGAAAGCCAGGGGAGCAAACGGG
rnacentral:rRNA from 1 species